GGUGCUGAGCGGUACUCGCGGGACGUGGAGAUGAUGAUCGGAAGGAGUGUACCAGGAUACAUAAAAUUUUGUUGGACUUUCCUCUCUCCUCUGCUCUUGUUUGGAUUGCUUGUCACGUGCCUUGUGUCUUACGUCCCGCCUACAUACGGGGAUUACGUAUACCCGGGCUGGGCCGCUGUCGCUGGCUGGAUGGCUUCGCUCUUACCUAUUGUUCUCGUCAUCCUUAUAAGUAUCAGAACCGUGUUUUACACACCCGGGAAAACGCUCUAUCAGAAAUUACGUCACUCGAUCAUACCCGAAUGAAGACUGGCACCCGGCCAAUGAUAAAGCCAACUAUCUAGCUCUUCCCUGGGAAAGUAGAGGAACUUUAACACAGAAACUUCUCGUUAACCUUGGCCUCAGGAAACACACCGUAUAAGGAGUUUUGAUAAUAACGUUUAUGAUGAAAAAAAUAUAUUUACAUUAGAAUUUUGUUUAUAAUCACAUUAUUUAGAUUUGUAAGAAAUAUAUUGAUAAUAAUAAUAAUAAUAUAUAAGUACAUUGUAACAAAGUUAGCUUUUUCUGUUAAGACUUGAAGUCUACAGGCUCUAAGACUGAGCUCAACAGUAAGAGUAUUGUAGAAUUUCACGGAAGUUGUUUGCAUUGUAGAGUUGGUUUAUAAAUUAUUAAACAAGUGUACGU